UAUACACCUUUACCCAGUCACUUCUCCUAUGAGCUACAUUACCUCAUCAAAAACAUGUUCAAGACUAACCCUAAAGACAGACCAUCAGUACACACAAUCCUCAGCUCUCACCGUGUGUCUCGACUGCUGCAUAAACACUUGGUGCCAGAGAAUAAGGAACUGGUGCAAGAACAACACACCACUGGAGGAGAGAGAAAGGAGAGGAAGUGGCCAUGUUUUUAGGACAGAAGAGUUUAGUGAUCACAACUACCACUGAAGGAACUAUGCAAGUAGAACAGUCCACUUUGGAAAACAACUGCAUUGAUGACCCAGCUUCUCGUAAGAGAUGGGCAGU